AAUCAAAGCGCUUCCAAUAUUGAAACAUCGAUCCCACAUUGGCCGCCAUCUUGAGACAUAUUGAGACAGAAUGAAAGAGGCUGGAGUUCCUGUCUUCACCCUUUCUCCGCUGCCUCCCUGUUCUACCAGUCUGUUCUGUGUCCAGGCAACUGCAAAAAGACAUUUCAAAGGCUCCUGCCGUGCCAUGUAGAUGUUUUCUCUUGUUAGUUUGGACUGCAGGUGUGUGAGCCUCGAGGAUGAAGUAUCGUGGUGCUUGUUUUAGGUUCGGGGCACACAGUCACGGCACAAUAAAUCACACGGUAAUGCUCCGCUUUGAACACGCGCGCACGGAAAAGGGGAAAGAAAAAAGCAUCUGACCUGAAUCAUUUUCUGGAAACACAUCUGGUUAAAAUCCAAAGUUUUAAAUUGAGUAAUAUUUUAAAAUACAUUUGGUAGGUAUUACAUUACAGUGUUAUAUCUGGUAAUAUUUAUGAUACUAAUGUGUUAAGCGGAGGUUUAUAUCUGUCAAGAAAUAUGAAUGAUUGUCAUAUGGGCUAACAAAUGUAUCCUGAUAUAAAUAACAUUUUAUGAUAUUUUUAA